rnacentral:lncRNA from 1 species
UUUGACUUCUUGCCAAGGUAGGAGCACCACGAGCUGUAAUUCUUGAGAAGCUUCUUGCGGAAACGGCGGAGUACGGUGGCGUCAAGAGUGUCGAUGUUGUCCGGCGGUGGAGUGAGUCGCAUCUGAGCAUUGGCGAGGUGGAGGACCAGGUGCUCACGCUGGUUACGGACGUUAUCCUUCUGGAAUCCAAAGAAGAUAGCCAGCCAGUCAAGCAAGUCCAUGUGAGGCCGCCAUUGGCCGAACGGAGGACGCCGGAGAUUGCCGACGGCACGGAGUGCAGCGACGGCGGCACGUACCUCGGGGAAACGGAGAGAUGGGUGGUCGGCUAGGAGGUUGUGGACGGGGAUGAUAUUGUAGGGUUCUUCCUCGCGGGGAGGAGUAGCGGCCCGUGGCGGUGUAUGACGGGGGCGGAGACUCAUUGCAUCGGAAUCGGAACCUUAAAAAAUACGGCUGUAGUGUUGAAGUUCAAAAAGUGGAAAAAGUGAGAGUAGUGGCCGUUACAGAGAGAAUGUGGUAGAUUGUGGCUAACGUGCGCACUGUCGAAUAGCGCAGGGGAAGAAGAAAGACCGCGUUGGCCUGUUUAGACUUUUUGUUCAUUUAUUUUAAUGUUUAUUUUUUAUUACAUUAAUGUGGAGGACCAGGUGCUCACGCUGGUUACGGACGUUAUCCUUCUGGAAUCCAAAGAAGAUAGCCAGCCAGUCAAGCAAGUCCAUGUGAGGCCGCCAUUGGCCGAACGGAGGACGCCGGAGAUUGCCGACGGCACGGAGUGCAGCGACGGCGGCACG